UUUAAAGAAACUAAUCAAUAGUUGCUUACUGUUAAUAAGUAUAAGAGCAUAACUCCUUUAAAU
rnacentral:tRNA from 1 species